rnacentral:miRNA from 1 species
CUUCCAGCCGGCGAGGUACAAGUACCUCGUCGACCGGAAGGGUGUCCUUCCAGCCGGCGAGGUACUUGUACCUCGUCGACUGGAAG